CUUCAAAAUCCUUUUUAAUUUUUUAUUGAGACAGAAUCUUGCUAACUAGCUGAGAGUGUCCUUGAACGUGAAAUUCUCCUGCCUUGGCCUCCGAAGUCACUGGGAUUACAGGUGUGUGCCACCACACCUGGCUGUACCCAGGCUCUUGUGACCACUGAAGUAUACCCCAGCCUGCUACUGGGUCUUUAUCUAGAUUUAUAGCAAGGAAUAAAAUGGAUAUGUCAUACUCAAACAUAUCAUGUUUAGGUGAAAAAAUACAUCAAAACUUAUAAAAUGCUUUAUAAUCCACAAAGUAAUUUUAUAGUCAUUGUCUGAUUUGAAUGUUCUGAUAAUCACUGAGAAAUAAGCAGAACCAAUACUACAUGGAUUUUGUAGAAAGAAAACUGAUUGUGAUUUUCUAGUUUAGCACAGCAAAUGGUAAAGCUGGUUGUAAAUUCCAAACUUUUGAUCUGGCUACUACAAAUCCUAUACUUGGUUUUUCCAUAUUUGCCAAAUAUAACCUAUUUUACCCAGAAGGUGGCAGUGUUCCUACCUAACCCCAGAACUGGGGAUUGAAUUGAGGGCCUCAUGCAUGCCAGGAAAGUCCCCUGCUACAAGUGUUUCUCUUAAUAUUCAUUGAAAGUUCAUUUUCCUAUUUGAGGUACUUAAAAAGAGGUGAAAAUUACAUUAUUUUGACAGAACUUUUUUUUUUCUAACACGGUACUGGGGAUUGAACCUAGGGCUCUUGCACAUGCUAGGCAAUCACUUUACCACUGAGCUACACUCCAGCCCUUUUCAUUUUAUUUUGAGAUAGGGUCUUGAAAAGUUGUCCAGGCUGUCCCUGAACUUGAGAACCUCCCGCUUCAGCCUUCCCAGUAGCUGGGAUUGCAGAUGUGUAACACCACACCGCAGCAAAACAGUUUGCCUCAGAGAACAUUACUUCAUCAUAUGUUUUGAUGUUAAAGAUAAAGAUAUUAAUAAAAUCGGUGCCUAUAUUAUAGGAGUUCACAAUUUGGGAGGAAGAUGUGGAGGUGGGCACUGGAGAUUUAGCUCAGUGGUACACCACUUGCCUAGCAUGGAAGAUGCCUUCGUACAAUAAAAUGAAGAGCUAGUGCAGUGAAGAGGCUGAGGCAGAGAUCAUAAGUUUAUAGCCAAUCUGAGCAAUGUAGGGAGAUCCUGUCUCAAAAUAAAAAGGGCUCGGGGUAUAGGUCAAUAGUAGAACAUCUUUGGGUUCAAUCCCAGUACUGCCAAAAAAAAAAGGUAGAUGAACUAUCAAGCAAAGUUAAAAUACUUCAAAAAUUUCAAACAAAAAAAUUUUUUUUUUCUUGUGGUACUAGAGAUUAAACUGGGGUUGCUCUACCACUAAGCUACACCUCAUCCCUUUUUAUUUUGAGACAGGUUCUUGCUAAAUUGCCCCAGGCUGGCCUCAAACUUGUGAUCCUCCUGCUGCAUCCUUUUGAAUAUCAGGGAUUAUAUAUGUUACAGGAAUACAAAUUUAUAAUGAACCUCUUGAGAUGGUGCCUUUUUUUUCUUUUCUUUUUCUUUUUCUUGUGUUGGAAUAUCAGGCCUAAGGCUUAGUGCAAGCUAGGCAAGCACUCUGCCACUUAGCUACACCUCUAGACCCUUGAGGUAGUGUCUUGUGCACGUGCAUGUGUGUGUACAGUGUGUGUGUGUGUGUGUGUGUGUGUGUCCCUGUAGAUUGAACCCAGGAGUACUCUACCCCUAAUUUGUAUUUUAUUUAGAGACAGGUCUUGCUA
rnacentral:lncRNA from 1 species